rnacentral:rRNA from 1 species
AUUGAACGCUGGCGGCAGGCCUAACACAUGCAAGUCGAACGAGUGGCGGACGGGUGAGUAAUGUCUGGGAAACUGCCCGAUGGAGGGGGAUAACUACUGGAAACGCUAGCUAAUACCGCAUACCAUCGGAUGUUCCCAGAUGGGAUUAGCUUGUAGGUGGGGUAACGGCUCACCUAGGCGACGAUCCCUAGCUGGUCUGAGAGGAUGACCAGCUAAACUGGAACUGAGACAUGGCGCAGACUCCUACGGGAGGACGCAGUGGGUGAUAUUGCACAAUGGGCGAAAUCCGGAUGCAGCUAGGCCGGGGGUAUGAAGAAGGCCUUCGGGUUGUAAAGUACUGUCAGCGGGGAGGCGUUACCCGCAGAAGAAGCACCGGCUAACUCCGUGCCAGCAGCCGCGGUAAUAC